rnacentral:ncRNA from 2 species
UGUAUCUUAGGUGAUGAAGUUCACCUUUAACCAUCUCUUCCGGGAUUGAUGACUUCUACUAUACA